rnacentral:rRNA from 1 species
AUGCGAAGGACCACCGCGACCAAUGCCAAUGGCGCCCGCGGAACUCUGGCGGCGGCCUUGACCCUGCCGGCAUUGGCGGAGGAGUCGCUAAGCGACCACUCCUCGCUGAUCUUGGCAAGCUCGCCGUCUAGGCGACGGUGCCACCUGGUGGUGGUCUCCACGGUUGUGACGGAGCGAUCGAGGGCCAAUGCAGCGGUGAGGUCGGGGUCUUCGCGAACCCAUUCCGGUGACGUUUGGACUCUGCGAACGCGAAGCGGCGUUGGGCCGGUCGUACCGGGCCCGUUGCCUCGCCGCACGCUACUCCUCGGAGACGACGACCCUCGAGUCCGUGGGACCGCCAUAACCGCCUCCUGCGAGGUCGUGGAGGAUGCUACCCCGCGCCUUCGUGAUCACGGGCGGUAG